rnacentral:lncRNA from 1 species
UUUUUUUAACUGAUAUCGUUAAUGCUGUCCACUUUUAAGUCCACGUGAAGUUGUCGGGCUGUAAAAAAAGCCAUAAAAACCCAAGACAAAGUCAAAACACAGAGGAGACCUAGAUGCCUAAGGUCCAAGGAGCUCAGAAAUCAGAGCGCUCAAAGCCGACUUCCUGCCAAAAACGAACCGACCUGGGUUAUAUGAAGGGCUUAGAAAUCAAAGCGCUCAAAGGCCUGUGCCAGAGAAGCCUUCCGCCUCCUCCCCGUGGCACCAUUCAACGUCCCCAAGUAUCCAUAGGUGACACGACCAUUGGAGAUUGCUUCAU